GACGAACGCUGGCGGCGUGCUUAACACAUGCAAGUCGAACGAAGUGGCGAACGGGUGAGUAACGCGUAAUCAACCUGCCCUUCAGAGGGGGACAACAGUUGGAAACAACUGCUAAUAACGCAUACUGAAGGAGGUGCUGGCGUCUGAUUAGCUAGUUGGAUGGGUAACGGCCCACCAAGGCGAGGAUCAGUAGCCGGUCUGAGAGGUUGAACGGCGACAUUGGGACUGAGACACGGCACAGACUACGACGGGAGGCAGCAGUGGGGAAUCUGCCGCAAUGGACGAAAGUCUGACGGAGCAACGCCGCGUGAGUGAUGACGGCCUUCGGGUUGUAAAGCUCUGUUAAUCGGGACGCGGUACCGGAAUAGAAAGCCACGGCUAACUACGUGCCAGCAGCCGCGGUAAUAC
rnacentral:rRNA from 1 species